rnacentral:rRNA from 1 species
UUAAGUUAUUAAGGGCGCACGGUGGAUGCCUUGGCACUAGAAGCCGAUGAAGGACGUUACUAACGACGAUAUGCUUUGGGGAGCUGUAAGUAAGCUUUGAUCCAGAGAUUUCCGAAUGGGGAAACCCAGCAUGAGUUAUGUCAUGUUAUCGAUAUGUGAAUACAUAGCAUAUCAGAAGGCACACCCGGAGAACUGAAACAUCUUAGUACCCGGAGGAAGAGAAAGAAAAUUCGAUUCCCUUAGUAGCGGCGAGCGAAACGGGAAGAGCCCAAACCAACAAGCUUGCUUGUUGGGGUUGUAGGACACUCUAUACGGAGUUACAAAGGACGACAUUAGACGAAUCAUCUGGAAAGAUGAAUCAAAGAAGGUAAUAAUCCUGUAGUCGAAAAUGUUGUCUCUCUUGAGUGGAUCCUGAGUACGACGGAGCACGUGAAAUUCCGUCGGAAUCUGGGAGGACCAUCUCCUAAGGCUAAAUACUCUCUAGUGACCGAUAGUGAACCAGUACCGUGAGGGAAAGGUGAAAAGCACCCCGGAAGGGGAGUGAAAUAGAACCUGAAACCGUGUGCUUACAAGUAGUCAGAGCCCGUUAAUGGGUGAUGGCGUGCCUUUUGUAGAAUGAACCGGCGAGUUACGAUUUGAUGCAAGGUUAAGCAGUAAAUGUGGAGCCGUAGCGAAAGCGAGUCUGAAUAGGGCGUUUAGUAUUUGGUCGUAGACCCGAAACCAGGUGAUCUACCCUUGGUCAGGUUGAAGUUCAGGUAACACUGAAUGGAGGACCGAACCGACUUACGUUGAAAAGUGAGCGGAUGAACUGAGGGUAGCGGAGAAAUUCCAAUCGAACCUGGAGAUAGCUGGUUCUCUCCGAAAUAGCUUUAGGGCUAGCCUCAAGUGAUGAUUAUUGGAGGUAGAGCACUGUUUGGACGAGGGGCCCCUCUCGGGUUACCGAAUUCAGACAAACUCCGAAUGCCAAUUAAUUUAACUUGGGAGUCAGAACAUGGGUGAUAAGGUCCGUGUUCGAAAGGGAAACAGCCCAGACCACCAGCUAAGGUCCCAAAAUAUAUGUUAAGUGGAAAAGGAUGUGGCGUUGCCCAGACAACUAGGAUGUUGGCUUAGAAGCAGCCAUCAUUUAAAGAGUGCGUAAUAGCUCACUAGUCGAGUGACACUGCGCCGAAAAUGUACCGGGGCUAAACAUAUUACCGAAGCUGUGGAUUGUCCUUUGGACAAUGGUAGGAGAGCGUUCUAAGGGCGUUGAAGCAUGAUCGUAAGGACAUGUGGAGCGCUUAGAAGUGAGAAUGCCGGUGUGAGUAGCGAAAGACGGGUGAGAAUCCCGUCCACCGAUUGACUAAGGUUUCCAGAGGAAGGCUCGUCCGCUCUGGGUUAGUCGGGUCCUAAGCUGAGGCCGACAGGCGUAGGCGAUGGAUAACAGGUUGAUAUUCCUGUACCACCUAUAAUCGUUUUAAUCGAUGGGGGGACGCAGUAGGAUAGGCGAAGCGUGCGAUUGGAUUGCACGUCUAAGCAGUAAGGCUGAGUAUUAGGCAAAUCCGGUACUCGUUAAGGCUGAGCUGUGAUGGGGAGAAGACAUUGAGUCUUCGAGUCGUUGAUUUCACACUGCCGAGAAAAGCCUCUAGAUAGAAAAUAGGUGCCCGUACCGCAAACCGACACAGGUAGUCAAGAUGAGAAUUCUAAGGUGAGCGAGCGAACUCUCGUUAAGGAACUCGGCAAAAUGACCCCGUAACUUCGGGAGAAGGGGUGCUCUUUAGGGUUAACGCCCAGAAGAGCCGCAGUGAAUAGGCCCAAGCGACUGUUUAUCAAAAACACAGGUCUCUGCUAAACCGUAAGGUGAUGUAUAGGGGCUGACGCCUGCCCGGUGCUGGAAGGUUAAGAGGAGUGGUUAGCUUCUGCGAAGCUACGAAUCGAAGCCCCAGUAAACGGCGGCCGUAACUAUAACGGUCCUAAGGUAGCGAAAUUCCUUGUCGGGUAAGUUCCGACCCGCACGAAAGGCGUAACGAUUUGGGCACUGUCUCAACGAGAGACUCGGUGAAAUCAUAGUACCUGUGAAGAUGCAGGUUACCCGCGACAGGACGGAAAGACCCCGUGGAGCUUUACUGUAGCCUGAUAUUGAAAUUCGGCACAGCUUGUACAGGAUAGGUAGGAGCCUUUGAAACGUGAGCGCUAGCUUACGUGGAGGCGCUGGUGGGAUACUACCCUAGCUGUGUUGGCUUUCUAACCCGCACCACUUAUCGUGGUGGGAGACAGUGUCAGGCGGGCAGUUUGACUGGGGCGGUCGCCUCCUAAAAGGUAACGGAGGCGCUCAAAGGUUCCCUCAGAAUGGUUGGAAAUCAUUCAUAGAGUGUAAAGGCAUAAGGGAGCUUGACUGCGAGACCUACAAGUCGAGCAGGGUCGAAAGACGGACUUAGUGAUCCGGUGGUUCCGCAUGGAAGGGCCAUCGCUCAACGGAUAAAAGCUACCCCGGGGAUAACAGGCUUAUCUCCCCCAAGAGUUCACAUCGACGGGGAGGUUUGGCACCUCGAUGUCGGCUCAUCGCAUCCUGGGGCUGUAGUCGGUCCCAAGGGUUGGGCUGUUCGCCCAUUAAAGCGGUACGCGAGCUGGGUUCAGAACGUCGUGAGACAGUUCGGUCCCUAUCCGUCGUGGGCGUAGGAAAUUUGAGAGGAGCUGUCCUUAGUACGAGAGGACCGGGAUGGACAUACCUCUGGUGUAACAGUUGUCGUGCCAACGGCAUAGCUGGGUAGCUAUGUGUGGACGGGAUAAGUGCUGAAAGCAUCUAAGCAUGAAGCCCCCCUCAAGAUGAGAUUUCCCAACUUCGGUUAUAAGAUCCCUCAAAGAUGAUGAGGUUAAUAGGUUCGAGGUGGAAGCAUGGUGACAUGUGGAGCUGACGAAUACUAAUCGAUCGAAGACUUAAUCAA